rnacentral:tRNA from 1 species
UAGGCUGAAGCCCGCUGGCUUGGGUAUCUAGUUGUUAACUAGGAUUUUUGCGGGAUCAAGGCCCGUCAGCCUAGA